UCUGGGCGUGGUAGCUCAUGCCUGUAAUCCCAGCACUUUGGGAGGCAGAUGCGGGCAGAUCACUUGAGGCUAGGAGUUCAAGACCAGCCUGGUUAACAUGGUGAAACCCCAUCUCUUUUUUUUUUUUUUUUUUUUUUUUUUUUGAGACGGAGUGUCGCCCUGCCGCCCAGGCUNNNNNNNNNNAGCCUGGGCGGCAGGGCGACACUCCGUCUCAAAAAAAAAAAAAAAAAAAAAAAAAAAAAAAAAAAAAAGAGAUGGGGUUUCACCAUGUUAACCAGGCUGGUCUUGAACUCCUAGCCUCAAGUGAUCUGCCCGCAUCUGC
rnacentral:SRP_RNA from 1 species